rnacentral:lncRNA from 10 species
UUUGAUCCCCAGUUUACAGAUGUGGGCCCUGAUGCCCAGACGCUUUGUAACUUGGCCAUUGAAGCUCUGUAACAUCAGUCCAGGUCUACCUGGGGGUACCCGUGGGACUUCUGUGCUCCCACCCUGUUGUCUCUGGAUAAGGGCAUUGAGGCCAGCAACGUGGCUGUGCUUAGAAGGGAUGGAGUGUGACGUGGGUGGGUGGAGAAGGAGACUGGAGGUCGCUGUGGGGGUGAAGGGUGAGGCCUGCAGUGAGUGCAGCAGUGAGUGUGUGUGCACAGAGGCGCAGGCCGUGGUGUUGGAGGCUGUGGCUGGGCUCUGCCUCCGGGCCUGUGCUGGCAGCCUCUGGUGGGUGAGGGGCUGGUCAGUGAGCUCCAGCCCAGUGCCCAGACAGGGCUCUAUUCUGGGGGCCACUAGACAGUGGAGGGAGCUGAGCCUUUGCCCUGCCUGAUCCUCUUGACCCUAAAUUAAACUUCUCCUCGCCAGGGCCCUGCCCAGCCUGCCGUCCUCUCCCCUCUUCUCCCCAAGUCCCUGCUAAGGCUCUUGUGGCCACCCCCACCUCCUGCCUCAGGACCUUUCCCGCCUGUCCUUCUGCCUGGAAGGCUCCCUGCAUUCCUCCUGGGGCCAUUCUGUCCUCACACUGACCGGCUGGGUUGCUUUCUUCUUUCUCUUCCUGUUGCCCAGCUGCAGCGUCAGUGCUGCGGGGCAGGGAGAGUUGCCUGUUUUGUUCACUGCCCCUGCCGCCCUGGGGCUCAGUGUGCAGUAGCUGCUCAAGAAAUGCUGGGGGAUGAGAUGGACUGUGGACAGGAGGGGACCAGGGUUCUCCUUUGGGCGGGCCACAGGAGGUGAUGAGCAGAGGGUGAGAGAGGAGAGUUGAGCCCCACUUCCCCUGAGGCCUUUGGACAAGGCCAGGUGAGGGGUUCCAGGGCUGCGUCUGAGCGAGGAGCCCAGUGACCACCCCUUCUGUCCCCGACACAUGUGCAGGCCAUGACUGCUCCCUGCGUCUCUGGAGCCUGGACAACAAAACGUGCGUGCAGGAGAUCACGGCCCACCGCAAGAAGCACGAGGAGGCCAUCCACGCUGUUGCCUGCCACCCCAGCAAGGCCCUCAUUGCCAGUGCUGGCGCUGAUGCCCUGGCCAAGGUCUUCGUAUGAUGCCCACCUGGCCCUGCCCUGGCCGCCACGCUGGCUGGGGUGUAGGGCCGGGCAGGUGGGGCUGAGGUGAGGGCAGAAACCCCGCAUUCUGAGUCUCUGCACGCCCAUGCCUAGUACUGCCAGGUGUGCUGAGCCCCGCAGUCCAGUCAGGGGCGUCCUGUGAGAAUCACUGGGGGAGCCCUGGGCAUGCAGGGGAGGGGUUGAGGCCUUAGAGGCGCCCUAGAGGCGGCGGCUCAGUCUCCCCUCCCUUCUCUUUCCCGCAGGGGACUCCCAGCCUCGCUGGAGGUGCAGAGGCCUGGCCUCUGUCUGUUUGCCAUGGAGCCUGGUGGUGCUAACGGCCCUUUCCCCAGGAAUCCCUCCCCAACGGCUGCCUUCCCCAAGCAUCCAGCCUGGGGAUGGGCCCCUUUCAGGAAUCACCCCCGAGGAUGGCCUCGGGGUUUCCCCCUGUGCCCUGACAGCCGCUCCUGGUAUCAGAGCUGCUUUCCAGAGGGCAGCACAGCCAGGGCCGGGUGUCUUUAGGGAUCAGUUUUUCCAAGACUCCAGAAGGUGCCAGGUUCUCCCCUUGAGCUCCUGCUCCCCCAUCCCCCAUCCUCCCAGACCUGGGCAGGAGCUGUGCUGGGAGAAAGGGUGGCAGCCGGGAGCCUCAGAGCUGAGCCCCGGCCUGGCUGCCCCUCCCCUCCGGCCCUCUCCACUGCUUUCCAGACACUAACCAAGGCUUCCAGGCCAGGGAUUGCCCAACACUCCUAGGGCAGCCCUCCCAGCGCCCCAUGGGGUCGCCCAUGGGUAGAGACGGCUUUCUUGUGCCCCUCCCUGGGGCAUGGAGGGUGGAGUGGGCCUCGGGUCCCCCUGAACUCCCUGUAUAUCUGUAUAAAUAACGGGAUUUUCAUGGCGCCGCCCCACCCGCAUUAUCACUGUGUGAUGGUCUCAGUCAGUCUCCUCCCUGUCUCCACUCUUUCCCUCUAUUUAUUUCACUCUCUUGUUUGGUUCUACCCUGCACCCUCGGUCCCCUUCCAGGUUCCUGUUUAUAAGCCCCAACCCCUCUGUCCCCAUCUUGUAUGUGAAAACUUGUCUCAAUAAACCCUUUGGAGU